UCACUUUGGUAAUAAAUAUACUAAAUUUGGAACAAAGAAGAUUAGCAUGGCCCCUAGGCAAGGAUGAUACAAAUUCAUUAAGCAUUCCCAAUUUUU
ensembl:snRNA U6 U6 spliceosomal RNA